UGGGGAAUAUUGGACAAUGGGCGCAAGCCUGAUCCAGCAAUGCCGCGUGUGUGAAGAAGGCCUUCGGGUUGUAAAGCACUUUUAUCAGGAGCGAAACGCUGUCGGCUAAUACCCGGCGGAACUGACGGUACCUGAGGAAUAAGCACCGGCUAACUUCGUGCCAGCAGCCGCGGUAAUACGAAGGGUGCAAGCGUUAAUCGGAAUUACUGGGCGUAAAGCGUGCGUAGGCGGUUUCUUAAGUCUGCUGUGAAAUCCCCGGGCUCAACCUGGGAAUGGCAGUGGAUACUGGGAGGCUAGAGUGUGUCAGAGGGUGGUGGAAUUCCCGGUGUAGCGGUGAAAUGCGUAGAGAUCGGGAGGAACAUCAUGGUGGAGACGGCCAGCCACUGGGGACAACACUGACGCUGAGGCACGAAAGCGUGGGGAGCAAACAGGAUUAGAUACCCUGGUAGUCCACGCCCUAAACGAUGCGAACUGGAUGUUGGUCUCAACUCGGAGAUCAGUGUCGAAGCUAACGCGUUAAGUUCGCCGCCUGGGGAGUACGGUCGCAAGACUGAAACUCAAAUGAAUUGAC
rnacentral:rRNA from 1 species